CCUAAGACAGGAGGCUGACGCCUAGAGGUCAGUUCAUCCGAUGACGGGUAAGGACCAUAUGUUGAAUUGGACUGCCUAACAGGCACGGUCCCUAAGCCACAUGCUUGUUGUUUAAACAGAGAGGGGGAGAUGUUGAGAGCCACAGCCAAAGGGGCCUCAGCAAACUUCCAGCUGCCAGCAAACUUCCAGCUGCUGGCUGAUGAUUGGCUCACAGCGGCCCCAGCA
rnacentral:lncRNA from 1 species